rnacentral:rRNA from 1 species
UACGAAGGGGGCUAGCGUUGCUCGGAAUCACUGGGCGUAAAGCGCACGUAGGCGGACUCUUAAGUCGGGGGUGAAAUCCUGGAGCUCAACUCCAGAACUGCCUUCGAUACUGGGAGUCUUGAGUUCGGGAGAGGUGAGUGGAACUGCGAGUGUAGAGGUGAAAUUCGUAGAUAUUCGCAAGAACACCAGUGGCGAAGGCGGCUCACUGGCCCGAUACUGACGCUGAGGUGCGAAAGCGUGGGGGAGCAAACAGG